GAUGAAGAACGCAGCGAAAUGCGAUAAGUAGUGUGAAUUGCAGAAUUCAGUGAAUCAUCGAAUCUUUGAACGCACAUUGCGCCCUUUGGUAUUCCUUAGGGCAUGCCUGUUCGAGCGUCAUUUAAACCUUCAAGCUAAGCUUGGUGUUGGGUGACUGUCCGCUUCACGGCGGACUCGCCUCAAAAUUAUUGGCGGCCGGUACAUUGGCUUCGAGCGCAGCAGAAACGCGAACUCGGGCCCGUCGUAUUGGCUCCCAGAAGCUAUCUUCACAAUUUUGACCUCGGAUCAGGUAGGGAUACCCGCUGAACUUAAGCAUAUCAAUUAAGCGGAGGA
rnacentral:misc_RNA from 1 species